AUUGAACGCUGGCGGCAGGCCUAACACAUGCCAGUCGAGCGGAUGAAGGGAGCUUGCUCCUGGAUUCAGCGGCGGACGGGUGAGUAAUGCCUAGGAACCUGCCUGGUAGUGGGGGAUAACGUCCGGAAACGGGCGCUAAUACCGCAUACGACCUGAGGGAGAAAGUGGGGGAUCUUCGGACCUCACGCUAUCAGAUGAGCCUAGGUCGGAUUAGCUAGUUGGUGGGGUAAAGGCCUACCAAGGCGACGAUCCGUAACUGGUCUGAGAGGAUGAUCAGUCACACUGGAGCUGAGACACGGUCCAGACUCCUACGGGAGGCAGCAGUGGGGAAUAUUGGACAAUGGGCGAAAGCCUGAUCCAGCCAUGCCGCGUGUGUGAAGAAGGUCUUCGGAUUGUAAAGCACUUUAAGUUGGGAGGAAGGGCAGUAGGUUAAUACCUUGCUGUUUUGACGUUACCAACAGAAUAAGCACCGGCUAACUUCGUG
rnacentral:rRNA from 1 species